rnacentral:rRNA from 1 species
UACGGAGGGUGCAAGCGUUAAUCGGAAUUACUGGGCGUAAAGAGCACGUAGGCGGUUGGAUAAGUUAGAUGUGAAAUCCCCGGGCUUAACCUGGGAGCUGCAUUUAAAACUGUCUGGCUAGAGUUCGGUAGAGGGGGGUGGAAUUUCCGGUGUAGCGGUGAAAUGCGUAGAGAUCGGAAGGAACAUCAGUGGCGAAGGCGGCCCCCUGGACUAGGACUGACGCUGAGGUGCGAAAGCGUGGGGAGCAAACAGG